rnacentral:lncRNA from 1 species
CUUUUGACAAGAACAGUAAGACACUGGUUGUUUAGUCAAGGAUUCGUGAAGCUUUCUCAAAUGUUCACAGCCCAGUAGGGUACACAGCAGAUGCCAGCAUCCAUCUUCAUUUACUGAUGAGACUGAACUCUAAGGGGUCAGAGAAUGUCUGAGAUCACAAAGGCAGUAAGCACGCAGCUGGCCGGGUCAUUGGGUUCCUGGCCAGUGCUCUUUCUACCAUCAUACAUUAUUGCAUGCUGCCCUUUUCACUCACGUGGGCAUCAGCAGACCUUUUUCUGACCAUACAGAUCUCUGAGUUCCAUCAGAGCCUCCCCAAAGCUAAGUGUUUGUAGGUGUCAUUAUUAUAUCACGGUCAGUUAGGGAGCUCUUCAAAAUAUGAUGCUUACCAUAAAGUCAUUUACUUGCAGAUGUCUCCUUCUAUGACCAAAAGUUUCAGUGCUCUGAGGAGCAUUCUAGCUUUGAAAUACUUUAUUGAACCAGCUUCUAUCAACAUUAUGAAGAUCACUCAAAGUUCCAUUCUUGCAACAAAGGUGACCAGAUAUUACUCCAAGGGACAAUAAUGGAGAACUCCGCGGCCAAAAUGCUUAGAAGGAAAUCAAGCGAAUCCAGAAGAGAAUAAAGAGAGUGUAAAAGGAAAACUGAGAAUACAAAGAUUUUCCAGACCCUUCUAAAUUUUACAGUUUGAAAAACCACAGUGCUUUGCAAAAUAUCACAUUCAAUUGUCAGUUAAAAAAAAUUCUGUUAGAAGUCUCCUCAGUGCACCAAAGGGUGGGGAGGAGCCGCUGACUGGCCUCCAG